rnacentral:rRNA from 1 species
GAUGAACGCUGGCGGCGUGCUUAACACAUGCAAGUCGAACGAAGCACCUUGAUUUGAUUCUUCGGAUGAAGAUCUUGGUGACUGAGUGGCGGACGGGUGAGUAACGCGUGGGUAACCUGCCUCAUACAGGGGGAUAACAGUUAGAAAUGACUGCUAAUACCGCAUAAGACCACAUUACCGCAUGGUACAGGGGUAAAAACUCCGGUGGUAUGAGAUGGACCCGCGGCUGAUUAGGUAGUUGGUGGGGUAACGGCCUACCAAGCCGACGAUCAGUAGCCGACCUGAGAGGGUGACCGGCCACAUUGGGACUGAGACACGGCCCAAACUCCUACGGGAGGCAGCAGUGGGGAAUAUUGCACAAUGGGGGAAACCCUGAUGCAGCGACGCCGCGUGAGCGAUGAAGUAUUUCGGUAUGUAAAGCUCUAUCAGCAGGGAAGAAAAUGACGGUACCUGACUAAGAAGCACCGGCUAAAUACGUGCCAGCCGCCGCCGUAA